rnacentral:rRNA from 1 species
CAGUCGCCGCGGGAAUACGAAGGGUGCAAGCGUUACUCGGAAUUACUGGGCGUAAAGCGUGCGUAGGUGGUGGUUUAAGUCCGUUGUGAAAGCCCUGGGCUCAACCUGGGAAUUGCAGUGGAUACUGGGUCACUAGAGUGUGGUAGAGGAUAGUGGAAUUUCCGGUGUAGCAGUGAAAUGCGUAGAGAUCGGAAGGAACAUCUGUGGCGAAGGCGACUAUCUGGGCCAACACUGACACUGAGGCACGAAAGCGUGGGGAGCAAACAGGAUUGGAUACCCCGGUAGUCCCUGUCUCUUAUAC